rnacentral:lncRNA from 1 species
CUGAAUGGAAAAGAGUUCAGUUUAGGGUUUAAAACCGUAAUGUUGACUACAUGGAAAAAGUUCAGUUUAGGGUUUAAAACCCUAAUGCUGACUAAAGGGAAGAGUUCAGUUUAGGGUUUAAAACCCUAAUCCUGAUUAAAGGGAAGAGUUCAGUUUAGGGUUUAAAACCCUAAUGCUGACUGAAUGGAAAGGAGUUCAGUUUAGGGUUUAAAACCCUAAUGCUGACCAAAGGAAAAGUUCAGUUUAGGGUUUAAAACCCUAAUGCUGACUAAAGGAAAAAGUUCAGUUUGGGGUUUAAAUCCCUAAUGCUGACUAAAGGAAAAGUUCAGUUUAGGGUUUAAAACCCUAAUGCUGACUAAAGGAAAAAAGUUCAGUUUAGGGUUUAAAACCCUAAUGCUGACUAAAGGAAAAAAGUUCAGUUUAGGGUUUUAAACCCUAAUGCUGACUGAAUGGAAAGAGUUCAGUUUAGGGGUUUAAAACCCUAAUGCUGACAAGAGGAAAAGUUCAGUUUAGGGUUUAAAACCCUAAUACUGACUGAAUGGAAAAGAGUUCAGUUUAGGGUUUAAAACCCUAAUGCUGACUACAUGGAAAACGUUCAAUUUAGGCUUUAAAACCCUAAUGCCGACUAAAGGAAAAGUUCAGUUUACGGUUUAAAACCCUAAUGCUGA